GACGAACGCUGGCGGCGUGCCUAAUACAUGCAAGUAGAACGCUGAAGGAGGAGCUUGCUUCUCUGGAUGAGUUGCGAACGGGUGAGUAACGCGUAGGUAACCUGCCUGGUAGCGGGGGAUAACUAUUGGAAACGAUAGCUAAUACCGCAUAAGAGUAGAUGUUGCAUGACAUUUGCUUAAAAGGUGCAAUUGCAUCACUACCAGAUGGACCUGCGUUGUAUUAGCUAGUUGGUGAGGUAACGGCUCACCAAGGCGACGAUACAUAGCCGACCUGAGAGGGGGGUCGGCCACCCUGGGACUGAGACACGGCCCAGACUCCUACGGGAGGCAGCAGUAGGGAAUCUUCGGCAAUGGACGGAAGUCUGACCGAGCAACGCCGCGUGAGUGAAGAAGGUUUUCGGAUCGUAAAGCUCUGUUGUAAGAGAAGAACGAGUGUGAGAGUGGAAAGUUCACACUGUGACGGUAUCUUACCAGAAAGAGACGGCUAACUACGUG
rnacentral:rRNA from 1 species